GAUGAACGCUGGCGGCGUGCUUAACACAUGCAAGUCGAACGAUGAACCGGGUGCUUGCACUCGGGGAUUAGUGGCGAACGGGUGAGUAACACGUGAGCAACCUGCGCCUGACUCUGGGAUAAGCGCUGGAAACGGCGUCUAAUACUGGAUAUGUCCCGUCACCGCAUGGUGUGCGGGUGGAAAGAUUUUUCGGUUGGGGAUGGGCUGGCGGCCUAUCAGCUUGUUGGUGGGGUAAUGGCUCACCAAGGCGUCGACGGGUAGCCGGCCUGAGAGGGUGACCGGCCACACUGGGACUGAGACACGGCCCAGACUCCUACGGGAGGCAGCAGUGGGGAAUAUUGCACAAUGGGCGGAAGCCUGAUGCAGCAACGCCGCGUGAGGGAUGACGGCCUUCGGGUUGUAAACCUCUUUUAGCAGGGAAGAAGCGAGAGUGACGGUACCUGCAGAAAAAGCACCGGCUAACUACGUGCCAGCAGCCGCCGUAA
rnacentral:rRNA from 1 species